rnacentral:rRNA from 1 species
UACGUAGGGGGCAAGCGUUGUCCGGGAUUUAUUGGGCGUAAAGAGCGUGUAGGCGGCUAGAUAGGUCCGUUGUGAAAACUCGAGGCUCAACCUCGAGACGUCGAUGGAAACCAUCUGGCUAGAGUCCGGAAGAGGAGAGUGGAAUUCCUGGUGUAGCGGUGAAAUGCGCAGAUAUCAGGAAGAACACCCCUGGCGAAGGCGGGCUCUCUGGUACGUGACUGACGCUGAGACGCGAAAAGCGUGGGGGAGCAAACAGGAUU